rnacentral:lncRNA from 1 species
UAUAUAUAUAUAUAUAUAUAUCUAUAUAUAUAUAUAUGUGUGUGUGUGUGUGUGUGUGUGUGUGUGUGUGUGUGUGUGUGUGUGUGUGUGUGUGUGUGUGUGUCCGGCUACUAUACUCUUAUGAGUACGAUCGCCCUCGUACUCAUAAGUUGUUUUUGAUGAUAGAGCUUCUAAAUUGAUGAUCUAUACAGUUAAACAUUAUUUAGAGCAUUUAAAACUUCUAUAAAUCAAAUUUUAUAAUUUUUCGACCUCAUUUACCUUACGAUCAAAAGCUCACAAAAUUGACAAUUUUUAACAGUCGGUAUUACUUGCUAGUUUAACGGUGUAAAACAAUUGGAAUAGGUUGAAUUUUUGAUAGAAAAUUUUAUUAACUACCUAGAUAAAGAUCAAUAACUCCGAUCUUACAUUGAAGCAUCCGAUCAUUCAUUUUUAGGACGUCGUUCGAUUUUGACUGUUCAUUUUAUGCCCGUUUGAUGGACUUUAUGAUGAUUUCGAAAAAUUACAAAAGUUAUUUUCUAGAAGUUUCAAAUACUCUAGAUCCUGUUUAACAGAGUGGAUCGUCGAUUCGGAAGCUCCAUCAUCGAAAACAA